rnacentral:lncRNA from 1 species
CUACUUUAAAAAAAUCGCAUGUUUAUUAUGGAAAAGCUGGUUUUGUUUGCCAUUUUUUGUUUACAUGAAGAUUCGGGGGUCUAGUUAUUGUAUUAUUUGUAUUUGUUGGGUACUUUUAUUGUAAUAAUUUCGUUUUUUAUGCCCCACCUACGAUAAUAGAGGGGCAUUAUAUUUUCUGGUCUGUGCGUCCGUUCGUUCGUUCGUCCGUCCGUCUGUCCCGCUUCAGGUUAAAGUUUUUGGUCAAGGUAGUUUUUGAUGAAGUUAACGUCCAAUCGACUUCAAACUUAGUACACAUGUUCCCUAUGAUAUGAUCUUUCUAAUUUUAAUGCCAAAUUAGAGUAUUUACCCCAAUUUCACGGUCCACUGAACAUAGAAAAUGAUAGUGCGAGUGGGGCAUUCGUGUACUGUGGACACAUUCUUGUUUGUCUAUAAUAUUUGUUCUGGUGUUUUUUUUUUGUAAUUUCAUGCUGAUUCUAGAAUACUGAAAUUAAUCGAUCGUUUCAUUUCAUUGGCGUUCUUUUGACAAAAAACAACAUUCAAAUGAUGCCUAAAAAAUUGUGUAAAAAC